CCCGCACAAGCGAGUGGAGUAUGUGGUUUAAUUCGAAGCAACGCGAAGAACCUUUACCAGGGCUUGACAUCCCUUGAAGCAGCUAGAGAUAGCUGUGGUCCUUCGGGACAAGGAGACAGGUGGUGCAUGGUUGUCGUCAGCUCGUGUCGUGAGAUGUUGGGUUAAGUCCCGCAACGAGCGCAACCCCUGUGGUUAGUUGCCAGCAAGUAGCGUUGGGCACUCUAGCCAGACUGCCGGUGAUAAAUCGGAGGAAGGUGGGGACGACGUCAAAUCAUCAUGCCCUUUAUGUCCUGGGCUACACACGUACUACAAUGGCCGUUACAACGGGAAGCGAAGGAGCAAUCCGGAGCAAAUCCCUUAAAGGCGGUCCCAGUUCAGAUUGUGGGCUGAAACUCGCCCACAUGAAGGCGGAAUUGCUAGUAAUUGCAGAUCAGCAUGCUGCAGUGAAUACGUUCCCGGGCCUU
rnacentral:rRNA from 1 species